CUGGCGGCGUGCUUAACACAUGCAAGUCGAACGGUGAACCUGCUUCGGUGGGGGAUCAGUGGCGAACGGGUGAGUAACACGUGGGCAACCUGCCCUCAGCUCUGGGAUAACUCCAAGAAAUUGGGGCUAAUACCGGAUAUGACUGCUGACCGCAUGGUCUGGUGGUGGAAAGAUUUAUCGGCUGGGGAUGGGCCCGCGGCCUAUCAGCUUGUUGGUGGGGUAGUGGCCUACCAAGGCGACGACGGGUAGCCGGCCUGAGAGGGUGACCGGCCACACUGGGACUGAGACACGGCCCAGACUCCUACGGGAGGCAGCAGUGGGGAAUAUUGCGCAAUGGGCGAAAGCCUGACGCAGCGACGCCGCGUGGGGGAUGACGGCCUUCGGGUUGUAAACCUCUUUCAGCAGGGACGAAGCGAAAGUGACGGUACCUGCAGAAGAAGCACCGGCCAACUACGUGCCAGCAGCCGCGGUAAUACGUAGGGUGCAAGCGUUGUCCGGAAUUAUUGGGCGUAAAGAGCUCGUAGGCGGUUCGUCGCGUCGGCUGUGAAAUCCCGAGGCUCAACCUCGGGCCUGCAGUCGAUACGGGCGGACUUGAGUUCGGCAGGGGAGACUGGAAUUCCUGGUGUAGCGGUGAAAUGCGCAGAUAUCAGGAGGAACACCGGUGGCGAAGGCGGGUCUCUGGGCCGAAACUGACGCUGAGGAGCGAAAGCGUGGGGAGCGAACAGGAUUAGAUACCCUGGUAGUCCACGCCGUAAACGUUGGGCGCUAGGUGUGGGGCUCAUUCCACGAGUUCCGUGCCGCAGCUAACGCAUUAAGCGCCCCGCCUGGGGAGUACGGCCGCAAGGCUAAAACUCAAAGGAAUUGACGG
rnacentral:rRNA from 1 species